rnacentral:rRNA from 1 species
UCCAGAAUUACAUAGAAGUGUAGUGGUAAAUUUUUNAAUUAAGAGGAUUAAAAUCUNUGAUCAAAUUUUAACUUAAAGAUUUUUAAGGAUAAGCUUAAAAAUUAAAAAAUAAAUGGUAAUAUCUAAAAAUGANNGUAACAUGAGCUUGGAAUUGGCUACUGUUAUGAGUUUGUUAUAAAAUAGCUCAUUUAAUUUUUAGAAAAUUCUUGUACUUANNCAUUUUUAAGUUUAUGGAGAUAUAAAGGUUAAUUAAAUUUCCUUUAAAGUUUAUGCUAAGAUGAGUAUUAUUAGAGCAAAAUUAGUGAAAAGAAAUAAUAUCAACNUUUUCUUAUAUUGAAAUUNUUACAAAUUAAAUAAGAAAAAGGAAUUCAGCAAAAUUGAUCGCUUCGCCUGUUUAUCAAAAACAUCGCUCCUUGUUAUAUCAAAUAUAAGGAGUCGAACCUGCCCAGUGAGAUUUUUAACGGCCGCGGUACUCUGACCGUGCAAAGGUAGCAUAAUCAUUUGCCUUAUAAUUGAAGGCUUGUAUGAAUGGUUUGACGAAAUCGAUACUGUCUCUUUUUUAUUUUAUAGAAUUUGACUUAAGGGUGAAGAGGCUCUUAUUUUACUGAAGGACAAGAAGACCCUGUCGAGCUUAAAAAAUAAAUGGAGAAUUAAUAUAAAAUUAAAUAAAUAAAAUACCAAAUAAUUUUUUUGGUUGGGGCGACUGAGGAACAAAAAAAGCUUCCUCUAAUUUUUUAUGUCUUACGAGCUAGAGAUCCAGUUAUACUGAUUACAGGAAUUAGUUACCGCAGGGAUAACAGCAUAAUCUCUCUUAAGAGACCAUAUCGAAAGGGGGGGUUGUGACCUCGAUGUUGGACUAGGGUAUCCUAAAGAUGUAGAAGUCUUUAAAGGUUGGUCUGUUCGACCAUUAAAAUC